AUUGACUGAGUGGCGGACGGGUGAGUAACGCGUGGGUAACCUGCCUCACACAGGGGGAUAACAGUUGGAAACAGCUGCUAAUACCGCAUAAGCGCACAGUAUCACAUGGUACAGUGUGAAAAACUCCGGUGGUGUGAGAUGGACCCGCGUCUGAUUAGCUAGUUGGUGAGGUAACGGCUCACCAAGGCGACGAUCAGUAGCCGACCUGAGAGGGUGACCGGCCACAUUGGGACUGAGACACGGCCCAAACUCCUACGGGAGGCAGCAGUGGGGAAUAUUGCACAAUGAGCGAAAGCCUGAUGCAGCGACGCCGCGUGAGCGAAGAAGUAUUUCGGUAUGUAAAGCUCUAUCAGCAGGGAAGAAAAUGACGGUACCUGACUAAGAAGCACCGGCUAAAUGCGUGCCAGCAGCCGCGGUAAUACGUAUGGUGCAAGCGUUAUCCGGAUUUACUGGGUGUAAAGGGAGCGUAGGCGGGAAGGCAAGUUGAAUGUUUAAACUAUCGGCUCAACCGGUAGUCGCGUUCAAAACUGUUUUUCUUGAGUGAAGUAGAGGUAGGCGGAAUUCCUAGUGUAGCGGUGAAAUGCGUAGAUAUUAGGAGGAACACCAGUGGCGAAGGCGGCCUACUGGGCUUUAACUGACGCUGAGGCUCGAAAGCGUGGGUAGCAAACAGGAUUAGAUACCCUGGUAGUCCACGCCGUAAACGAUGAUUACUAGGUGUGGGGGGGAUCAAACCCUUCCGUGCCGCAGUUAACACAAUAAGUAAUCCACCUGGGGAGUACGGUCGCAAGACUGAAACUCAAAGGAAUUGACGGGGACCCGCACAAGCAGUGGAGUAUGUGGAUUAAUUCGAAGCAACGCGAAGAACCUUACCAGGUCUUGACAUCCAACUAACGAAGCAGAGAUGCAUCAGGUGCCCUUCGGGGAAAGUUGAGACAGGUGGUGCAUGGUUGUCGUCAGCUCGUGUCGUGAGAUGUUGGGUUAAGUCCCGCAACGAGCGCAACCCUUAUUUCUAGUUACCAUCAUUAAGUUGGGGACUCUAGAGAGACUGCCAUUGAUAAAAUGGAGGAAGGUGGGGAUGACGUCAAAUCAUCAUGCCCUAUAUGACCUGGGCUACAAACGUGCUACAAUGGCUGGAACAAAGAGAAGCAAAACCGCGAGGUAGAGCGAACCUCAAAAAAACAGUCUCAGUUCGGAUUGAAGUCUGCAACUCGACUUCAUGAAGUUGGAAUCGCUAGUAAUCGCGAAUCAGAAUGUCGCGGUGAAUACGUUCCCGGGCUUUGCACACACCGCCCGUCA
rnacentral:rRNA from 1 species